AUUGAACGCUGGCGGCAGGCCUAACACAUGCAAGUCGAGCGGAUGAAGGGAGCUUGCUCCUGGAUUCAGCGGCGGACGGGUGAGUAAUGCCUAGGAAUCUGCCUGGCAGUGGGGGAUAACGUCCGGAAACGGGCGCUAAUACCGCAUACGUCCUGAGGGAGAAAGUGGGGGAUCUUCGGACCUCACGCUAUCAGAUGAGCCUAGGUCGGAUUAGCUAGUUGGUGGGGUAAAGGCCUACCAAGGCGACGAUCCGUAGCUGGUCUGAGAGGAUGAUCAGUCACACUGGAACUGAGACACGGUCCAGACUCCUACGGGAGGCAGCAGUGGGGAAUAUUGGACAAUGGGCGAAAGCCUGAUCCAGCCAUGCCGCGUGUGUGAAGAAGGUCUUCGGAUUGUAAAGCACUUUUAGUUGGGAGGAAGGGCAGUAAGUUAAUACCUUGCUGUUUUGACGUUACCAACAGAAUAAGCACCGGCUAACUUCGUG
rnacentral:rRNA from 1 species